UUUUCCGGUUGAUCCUGCCGGACCUUACUGCUAUCGGGGUGGAACUAAGACAUGCGAGUUGAGCGUCUCUAGCUAUGUUGAGACGCGGCAUACGGCUCAGUAACACGUGGCUAACCUACCCUCAGGACGGGGACAAACCCGGGAAACUGGGGCUAAUAUCCGAUAGGCGAGGAAUCCUGGAAUGGGUCCUCACCCAAAGGACAUUGGAAACAUGCUUUCUCUGUCGCCUGGGGAUGGGGCCGCGACCGAUCAGGUUGUUGGUGAGGUAAUGGCUCACCAAGCCUUUAACCGGUACGGGCCGUGAGAGCGGUAGCCCUGAGAUGGGUACUGAGACAAGGACCCAGGCCCUACGGGGCGCAGCAGUCGCGAAAACUCCGCAAUGCACGAAAGUGUGACGGGGCUACCCCGAGUGCCGUCCGCUGAGGAUGGCUUUUCCUUGGUGUAACUAGCCGGGGGAAUAAGGAGAGGGCAAGACUGGUGUCAGCCGCCGCGGUAAUACCAGCUCUCCGAGUGGUAGGGAUGAUUAUUGGGCUUAAAGCGUCCGUAGCCGGCUUAGCAAGUUUCCUGUUAAAUUCAGCGACCUAAUCGUUGAGCCGCGGGAAAUACUACUAGGCUAGGAGGCGGGAGAGGUCGACGGUACUUCUGGGGUAGGGGUGAAAUCCUAUAAUCCCGGGAGGACCACCAGUGGCGAAGGCUGUCGACUAGAACGCGCUCGACGGUGAGGGACGAAAGCUGGGGGAGCGAACCGGAUUAGAUACCCGGGUAGUCCCAGCUGUAAACGAUGCGGGCUAGGUGUUGGGGUGGCUACGUGCCACUUCAGUGCCGCAGGGAAGCCAUUAAGCCCGCCGCCUGGGGAGUACGGCCGCAAGGCUAAAACUUAAAGGAAUUGGCGGGGGAGCACCACAAGGCGUGAAGCUUGCGGUUCAAUUGGAGUCAACGCCGGGAAUCACUAGU
rnacentral:rRNA from 1 species